rnacentral:misc_RNA from 1 species
GGAUGAAGAACGUAGCGAAAUGCGAUAAGUAAUGUGAAUUGCAGAAUUCAGUGAAUCAUCGAAUCUUUGAACGCACAUUGCGCCCGCCAGCAUUCUGGCGGGCAUGCCUGUUCGAGCGUCAUUUCAACCCUCGACCUCCCCUUGGGGAGGUCGGCGUUGGGGACCGGCAGCACACCGCCGGCCCUGAAAUGGAGUGGCGGCCCGUCUGCGGCGACCUCUGCGUAGUAAUACAGCUCGCACCGGAACCCCGACGCGGCCACGCCGUAAAACACCCAACUUCUGAACGUUGACCUCGAAUCAGGUAGGACUACCCGCUGAACUUAAGCAUAUCAAUAAGCGGAGGA